rnacentral:rRNA from 1 species
CAGUAGCCGCGGUAAUACGGAGGGUGCAAGCGUUACUCGGAAUCACUGGGCGUAAAGGACGCGUAGGCGGAUUAUCAAGUCUCUUGUGAAAUCUAACGGCUUAACCGUUAAACUGCUUGGGAAACUGAUAAUCUAGAGUAAGGGAGAGGCAGAUGGAAUUCUUGGUGUAGGGGUAAAAUCCGUAGAUAUCAAGGAGAAUACCUAUUGCGAAGGCGAUCUGCUGGAACUUAACUGACGCUAAUGCGUGAAAGCGUGGGGAGCAAACAGGAUUAGAUACCCCCGUAGUCCCUGUCUCUUAUAC